AUUUUAUGCAUUCGCUAUGUAGAUAAACGUGAGUUAAGCAGUCAGAUCAUCUCUUAUAAAGAAAAUAAGUCCCAUGUCACAUCGUAAAUAGCGAAAACAGACUGGAGGAAGCAAUAAUAGUGAAACACAGUAUAAAUAACGCGAGUUUCGAUCUGUAAUGGAAGAGAAAAAGAAGCCGUUGGUUUUGUUUUUCAAAUGGCAGGUUGUAAGAAAAUGUGUGGUAUUACAAAUUUACCAACAAAAGUGCACCUCGUUAGCAUAAUGUAAAGUAUGCACAGAACUGUGUAAAAAAACUAUUAUCGAAACCUGUAUUCUAUGCCUAAUAUUCGUCACAACAUAACCAUUUAAUGCGUAAUGUAUCGGACUGGAAAAAACAAAUGUCUCACUCGAUGAACGCACAGAAAGAGAAGCAAUUUGGGAAAAAUCAAACAGCGUCUUGCAUAAGGCGGCAUUUUUGUCAUCAUUCGCGGAAAGAAGUAGAGCAACACAAAAAGGUACUGGGAUUGUCUUCUUCUGAUACUUCGAGUAGAGAAUUCAGAACAGGUUUUUUGAAUCUCUCUUUCAUUUUUAGAUGGUUAGAUCACAUAACUAAUGAGGAGGUAUUGA